AACGUAGGUCACAAGCGUUGUCCGGAAUUACUGGGUGUAAAGGGAGCGCAGGUGGGAAGACAAGUUGGAAGUGAAAUCUAUGGGCUCAACCCAUAAACUGCUUUCAAAACUGUUUUUCUUGAGUAGUGCAGAGGUAGGCGGAAUUCCCGGUGUAGCGGUGGAAUGCGUAGAUAUCGGGAGGAACACCAGUGGCGAAGGCGGCCUACUGGGCACCAACUGACGCUGAGGCUCGAAAGUGUGGGUAGCAAACAGG
rnacentral:rRNA from 1 species